AACUUCAGAAAAAAGAUAUUUUAUGAAUAACUUUGAGAAUAAGGGAUGCUGAAAAUGGCCCAGUUGACGCUUGCAUCAAAUCCUCGUAGGGUUUAGCCAGUAGGAUCGACCCUCACACUUCCAUCUCAUGCUUCAAAGGUUUAACCAAUAGCAACAGGGAGCAGCAAAAAGGGAAGGCAGAAGAAGAAGCACUAUAAACCAUUGCCAAAGAGGAGCAACUGCUUUCGUUCAGUGCUUGAACAUUCAUUUUUCUCGCAAAUGUUUUCCAGAUGGAGCAAAGCUGCUUCUCAAAUGUCGAAGCUUGGGUCUCUAAGCAACAUGGGGGAACUCAGAAAAGAUCUUCUUUUUAUUCCACGCCUAACCUAUGCCAAGGCUUCUGCAGCAGCUGCUGUCCCGCCUUCUCCUAAUGAUUCUAUGCACAAGGGUUUUCCUAGUAAAUCACCGGUAAAUUUGGAUAAAAUGUUUUGGUCUAAGCCCUGUUCUUUGGCUUUGGCCUCCGAUUCCCCACUGAGAAUUGAAGAGCCAAAAUAUGAGGGCAUUCGGCAUUUUAUCCUUAAGCUCUUGAUGUUUUAUAGCAAACAAAGCAAAUCGAUUAGGGGGGCAAAUGUGGUGUACCGGCGCAUCAUUUCACAAGUAGAUAAGCCUACCAUUUAUGAAGUAUUCAAUUUGGAGAAGACAUUUAAAAUGACAUUCUCAUUGCUUGUACUCCAUAUGUGGCUUUGCUUACGCCGUCUGAAACAGGAGGGAAAGGAGGGCGUUGAAUUUGGGCAGUACCUGUAUGAUAUUUAUAAUCAUGAUGUGGAGCUAAGAGUAUCUAAAGCAGGGGUUAACUUAUUGUUGACUAAAUGGAUGAAAGAAUUGGAGAAGAUAUUCUAUGGAAAUAUUGUUGCUUAUGAUGCUGCCAUGCUUCCAGAGGCUAAAUCUGAUGAGCUAGAGAAGGUGGUAUGGAGAAAUGUCUUUUCUGAUGAUGGGACAUCAGAGCCAGAUGCUACUGCAUUACGGGCUGUCCAGGCAUGUUCUCAUCUUUGCUUUUUAUCGUGAUUUGCAUUGCUGCAGACUGCCAAAGAAAUUGCAAUGGCAAGAUAUGUACGCCGGGAAGUCCAUUGUCUUUCCUUAACAGAUAAAGAAGCCAUGUUUUAUGGGAAUUUCAUGUUCACCUCCUUGGAUAACACAUCAUCUCAUGCAGCAAGGAGUUAAAUGGAAGAGGCUAAUGCAGGCAUUGAAAUUCUAUCAUGAGAUUGGGGGGGUUAAAAGGAGAAAAAAAGAUGCUCUUCUUUGUCUGAUACAGGGGAAGCAUAAAGCCAUGUCAAAAGUGAUUAUUUUGUUAUUUUUAAUAUUAUUCUUAAAUUUUAAAAUUUAAGUGCUAAGUGAUUGAGCAAGGAGAUAAUGAUGUAUAAUGCACUCUUCCGACAAAAUUUAGCAAGGUAUUUGAAUGCAAUCAUGCAAAAUCAUUUCUGUAAAGUACAUAUAAUGACAGUGUUCAAAUGCAUAGUUGUUUCGCUUUGUUGCUGCA